UCUACGGCUACCUUGUUACGACUUCACCCCUCUUGCAGGUAACACCUUCGGCAACAUACGUCGACUUCGGGUGUCGCCUACUCGAUUGGUGUGACGGGCGGUGUGUACAAGGCCCAAGUACAUAUUCACCGCGGUAUGGCUGACCCGCGAUUACUACCGAUUCCAUCUUCAUGGGGUCGGGUUGCAGACCCCAAUCCGCACUGGGGGCACCUUUUUGAGAUUUGCUCGUCCUUGCAGACUUGCUCCUCAUUGUAGUGCCCAUUGUAGCACGUGUGUCGCCCAGAGCAUAAGGAUCAUAAUGACUUGACGUCAUCCCCUCCUUCCUCCGGAUAUUCUCCGGCAGUCCCCUUAUAGUACCCGGCAUUACCCGCUGGCAAUUAAGAGCAGGGGUUGCGCUCGUUACGGGACUUAACCCAACGUCCCACGACACGAGCUGACGACAGCCAUGCAAUACCUGCCACGGCUCCUCAAGCAAAGCUUGAGGUCGUUUCCCUUUCAGGAUCCUACUACCGCUAGGUCAAGCCCUGGUAAGGUUCUUCGCUUAUCAUCGAAUUAAACCACGUGCUCCACCGGUUGUGUGGGCCCCCGUCAAUUCCCUUGAGUUUU
rnacentral:rRNA from 1 species